rnacentral:rRNA from 1 species
GAUGAACGCUGGCGGCGUGCCUAAUACAUGCAAGUCGAGCGAAUGGAUUAAGAGCUUGCUCUUAUGAAGUUAGCGGCGGACGGGUGAGUAACACGUGGGUAACCUGCCCAUAAGACUGGGAUAACUCCGGGAAACCGGGGCUAAUACCGGAUAACAUUUUGAACCGCAUGGUUCGAAAUUGAAAGGCGGCUGCGGCUGUCACUUAUGGAUGGACCCGGGUCGCAUUAGCUAGUUGGUGAGGUAACGGCUCACCAAGGCAACGAUGCGUAGCAGACCUGAGAGGGUGAUCGGCCACACUGGGACUGAGACACGGCCCAGACUCCUACGGGAGGCAGCAGUAGGGAAUCUUCCGCAAUGGACGAAAGUCUGACGGAGCAACGCCGCGUGAGUGAUGAAGGCUUUCGGGUCGUAAAACUCUGUUGUUAGGGAAGAACAAGUGCUAGUUGAAUAAGCUGGCACCUUGACGGUACCUAGCCAGAAAGCCACGGCUAACUACGUGCCAGCAGCCGCAGUAA